AAAAGAAAUAAGAACCCUAGCUGAAAAUUUUGGGGAAAAUCAAGAGAAAUCAAGAAAUCAAGCAUUAAAAAGGUAAAUUCCAUUGAUUUUCCUUUUGAUUUUCACUACCCAUGUAUUUUUUCUCAUUUCCAUGCAAAAUUAGAAAGUGGGUAUGGACACCCAUGCUGACCAAACCUCCAUGGAUGAGUUUUGAGCUUGAGUUUUGGUUGAUUUUAAUUGAAUGAAGUGAUUUUAGUUAGGUUAUAUUGAAAUAUAGCAAAAAUAAGCUAGAGAAAUAAUUUUCUCCCAUUGAAACCCAUUAUGCCGAAUUUUCUAGGGGAAUAUUGGCAGCUGAUUUUGAUGUUUAUUUGAGGAAUUAUGAUAAAUAAUAAUGAAUUAUGAGCCUAGAAAAAUAUUGGGAAUUUUCGGAGCAAAAAUACAAAUUUUUAACCACUAUGGGUAUUUUCCAUAAUUUGCUAUCAGGACUGAUAAUUUGCACCACACUGAGGGACAUUAAGUCAAUUUGGGUGCAAUUGAGGUAUAGAAACUGAAAAAAAUUAAAUUGGAGUUUAAAUGGAGAGCGUUAGCAAUUUAUCGGGUAAAGUGCCAAAAAUAGGUUAAUACCGCAUUUAAGCCGUUUUAGGCUAUUGCAUUUCAUUCCAUGCAUUAGCAUAGGAUUUAAGUAAGUUAUAUAGUGAUUUAGCAUCAAUGUGGUGAAUUGUGUAAUUUUUACAAUGUGUCUAGGAGGAGAGCCUUCCGGUAAAGGCAAGGAAGUCGUACCCGACGAACAAUGAUCGGGGCACCUAGAAAGCAUUUAAUUUGUACAAACGGUGAGUAAACCUAUUAUUAUUGUAAAUUAUCUAGAGCUUAUUUUUAAAUGCUCCUUAUGUAUUUUAUGAAACGAAAAUAAGAUUAAAAUGGGACUUUUGAUGUUUUAGAAAUAAAUGUGACAAAUAAAUAUAUGGUGUUGAUUAUCUGGAAUAAGAAACUUUUGAUUAUGAAAUUGAGUAAAUAGGAGGUUGCCAAUUGUCUUGAAACAUAUAUUUUCCUAUGAAUGGCUUAUGAUUUAUGAGUAUAUGUGGCUAUAUUUUAUAAUUGCAUUGAGAAUUU
rnacentral:lncRNA from 1 species